rnacentral:rRNA from 1 species
CCUACGGGUGGCAGCAGUAGGGAAUCUUCCACAAUGGGCGAAAGCCUGAUGGAGCAACGCCGCGUGGGUGAAGAAGGUCUUCGGAUCGUAAAACCCUGUUGUUAGAGAAGAAAGUGCGUGAGAGUAACUGUUCACGUUUCGACGGUAUCUAACCAGAAAGCCACGGCUAACUACGUGCCAGCAGCCGCGGUAAUACGUAGGUGGCAAGCGUUAUUCGGAUUUAUUGGGCGUAAAGGGAACUCAGGCGGGCUUUUAAGUCUGAUGUGCAAGCCUUCGGCUUAACCGGAGUAGUGCAUGGGAAACUGGGAGACGUGAGUGCAGAAGAGGAGAGUAGAACUCCAGGUGUAGCGGUGAAAUGCGUAGAUAUAUGGAAGAACACCAGUGGCGAAAGCGGCUCUCUGGUCUGUAACUGACGCUGAGGUUCGAAAGCGUGGGUAGCAAACAGGAUUAGAUACCCUAGUAGUC